rnacentral:sRNA from 1 species
GGGAUUGUCGUGGAAAUCCUUUUAUGAGGCACGAAUAAAAGAUUGCAGCAAAAGCCCGACCCUUG